CCUACGGGAGGCAGCAGUGAGGAAUAUUGGUCAAUGGACGAGAGUCUGAACCAGCCAAGUAGCGUGAAGGAUGACUGCCCUAUGGGUUGUAAACUUCUUUUAUAUGGGAAUAAAAUGUUCCACGUGUGGGAUUUUGUAUGUACCAUCUGAAUAAGGAUCGGCUAACUCCGUGCCAGCAGCCGCGGUAAUACGGAGGAUCCGAGCGUUAUCCGGAUUUAUUGGGUUUAAAGGGAGCGUAGGUGGAUUGUUAAGUCAGUUGUGAAAGUUUGCUGCUCAACCGUAAAAUUGCAGUUGAAACUGGCAGUCUUGAGUACAGUAGAGGUGAGCGGAAUUCGUGGUGUAGCGGUGAAAUGCUUAGAUAUCACGAAGAACUCCGAUUGCGAAGGCAGUUCACUGGACUGCAACUGACACUGAGGCUCGAAAGUGUGGGUAUCAAACAGGAUUAGAUAUCCGAGUAGUC
rnacentral:rRNA from 1 species